ACGACUCUCGGCAAUGGAUAUCUCGGCUCUCGCAUCGAUGAAGAACGUAGCGAAAUGCGAUACUUGGUGUGAAUUGCAGAAUCCCGUGAAUCAUCGAGUUUUUGAACGCAAGUUGCGCCCAAAGCCAUUAGGCUGAGGGCACGUCUGCCUGGGCGUCAC
rnacentral:rRNA from 1 species